rnacentral:rRNA from 1 species
AGCUUAAGCCGUUAGGUGUAGGCGCAGCGAAAGCGAGUCUUAAUAGGGCGCAUGAGUUCGUGGGAUCAGACCCGAAACCGAGUGAUCUAGCCAUGUCCAGGAUGAAGGCAGGGUAACACCUGCUGGAGGUCCGAACCGACACCCGUUGAAAAGGGUCCGGAUGAGGUGUGGCUAGGGGUGAAAGGCUAAAUCAAAACUCGGAAAUAGCUGGUUCUCCGCGAAAUCUAUUUAGGUAGAGCGUCAGACGAAUACCUUCGGGGGUAGAGCACUGGAUGGGUGAUGGGGUCCCACAGACUUACUGAGCCUAACCAAACUCCGAAUACCGAAGAGUACUAUCUGGCAGACACACAUCGGGUGCUAACGUCCGGUGUGAAGAGGGAAACAACCCUGACCUACAGCUAAGGCCCCCAAUUCACGGCUAAGUGGAAAAGCAGGUGGGACGACCAAAACAACCAGGAUGUUGGCUUAGAAGCAGCCAUCAUUUAAAGAUAGCGUAACAGCUCACUGGUCUAGACAAGUUGUCCUGCGGCG